UACGGAGGGUGCAAGCGUUAAUCGGAAUUACUGGGCGUAAAGCGCGCGUAGGCGGUUUUAUAAGCUGGAUGUGAAAGCCCUGGGCUCAACCUGGGAACUGCAUUCAGAACUGUAAGGCUAGAGUUUGGUAGAGGUGAGUGGAAUUUCCUGUGUAGCGGUGAAAUGCGUAGAUAUAGGAAGGAACAUCAGUGGCGAAGGCGACUCACUGGACCAAAACUGACGCUGAGGUGCGAAAGCGUGGGGAGCAAACAGG
rnacentral:rRNA from 1 species